UGGAGCACCUGGAGCCCUGGGAGGUGGUGGAGCGCCUGGAGCCCUGGGAGGUGGUGGUGGAGCGCCUGGAGCCCUUGGAGGUGGUGGAGCACCUGGAGCCCUUGGCGGAGGUGGUGGAGCGCCUGGAGCCCUUGGCGGAGGUGUUGGUGCCCUUGGCGGAGGUGGUGGAGCACUUGGCGGAGGUGGUGGAGCACUUGGCGGAGGUGGUGGAGCACUUGGAGCCCUUGGCGGAGGUGUUGGAGCAUCUGGAACCCUUGGCGGAGGUGGUGGAGCAAUUGGAGCUCUUGGCGGAGGUGGUGGAGCACUUAGAGCCCUUGGUGGAG
rnacentral:lncRNA from 1 species